rnacentral:tRNA from 2 species
AAAAAGGUAAGCUAAUUAAGCUACCGGGUUCAUACCUCGUUCAUGGGGGUAAAUUCCCCCCCUUUUUA